rnacentral:rRNA from 1 species
UACAGGGGGUGCAAACGUUGCUCGGAAUUAUUGGGCGUAAAGCGCGCGUAGGCGGCUACUUAAGUCGGAUGUGAAAGCCCUUGGCUCAACUGAGGAAGUGCACCCGAAACUGAGUGGCUUGAGUACGAAAGAGGGUCGCGGAAUUCCCGGUGUAGAGGUGAAAUUCGUAGAUAUCGGGAGGAACACCGGUGGCGAAGGCGGUUUCCUGGGGCAUUCUUGACGCUGAGGCGCGAAAGCUGGGGGGAGCGAAACGGGG